AGUGUUGGGGAAACUCAGUGCUGAAGUUAACACAUUAAGUUCUCCGCCUGGGGAGUACGCUCGCAAGAGUGAAACUUAAAGGAAUUGACGGGGGCCCGCACAAGCGGUGGAGCAUGUGGUUUAAUUCGACGCUACGCGAAGAACCUUACCAGGGCUUGACAUCUGGCUAAAUACCCUAGAGAUAGGGGGAUAGCUAUAGCCAAGACAGGUGGUGCAUGGUUGUCGUCAGCUCGUGUCGUGAGAUGUUGGGUUAAGUCCCGCAACGAGCGCAACCCUUGUCCUUAGUUGCCAUCAUUCAGUUGGGAACUCUAAGGAGACUGCCGAUGUAAGUCGGAGGAAGGUGGGGAUGACGUCAAAUCAUCAUGCCCUUUAUGCCCUGGGCUACACACGUGCUACAAUGGCCGGUACAAAGAGACGCGAAACCGCGAGGUCAAGCAAAUCUCAUAAAGCCGGUCUCAGUUCGGAUUGGAGUCUGCAACUCGACUCCAUGAAGCUGGAAUCGCUAGUAAUCGCGAAUCAGAAUGUCGCGGUGAAUACGUUCCCGGGCCUUGUACACACCGCCCGUCAAACCAUGAGAGCUGGUAAUACUCGAAGUCGUUAUCCUAACCCGUAAGGGAGGGAGACGCCUAAGGUAGGACUGGUGAUUGGGGUUAAGUCGUAACAAGGUAUCCCUACGGGAACGUGGGGAUG
rnacentral:rRNA from 1 species